UACGUAGGGUGCGAGCGUUGUCCGGAAUUACUGGGCGUAAAGAGCUCGUAGGUGGUUUGUCGCGUUGUUCGUGAAAACUCACAGCUUAACUGUGGGCGUGCGGGCGAUACGGGCAGACUGGAGUACUGCAGGGGAGACUGAAAUUCCUGGUGUAGCGGUGGAAUGCGCAGAUAUCAGGAGGAACACCGGUGGCGAAGGCGGCAUCCUGGACCAUUACUGACGCUGAGGCGCGAAAGCUAGGGGAGCAAACGGG
rnacentral:rRNA from 1 species